rnacentral:rRNA from 1 species
AGAGUUUGAUCCUGGCUCAGGAUGAACGCUGGCGGCGUGCUUAACACAUGCAAGUCGAACGAAGCACUUUAUUUGAUUUCUUCGGAAUGAAGAUUUUGUGACUGAGUGGCGGACGGGUGAGUAACGCGUGGGUAACCUGCCUCAUACAGGGGGAUAACAGUUGGAAACGACUGCUAAUACCGCAUAAGCGCACAGGGUCGCAUGACCUGGUGUGAAAAACUCCGGUGGUAUGAGAUGGACCCGCGUCUGAUUAGCCAGUUGGUGGGGUAACGGCCUACCAAAGCGACGAUCAGUAGCCGACCUGAGAGGGUGACCGGCCACAUUGGGACUGAGACACGGCCCAAACUCCUACGGGAGGCAGCAGUGGGGAAUAUUGCACAAUGGGGGAAACCCUGAUGCAGCGACGCCGCGUGAGCGAAGAAGUAUUUCGGUAUGUAAAGCUCUAUCAGCAGGGAAGAAAAUGACGGUACCUGACUAAGAAGCACCGGCUAAAUACGUGCCAGCAGCCGCGGUAAUACGUAUGGUGCAAGCGUUAUCCGGAUUUACUGGGUGUAAAGGGAGCGCAGGCGGUGCGGCAAGUCUGAUGUGAAAGCCCGGGGCUCAACCCCGGUACUGCAUUGGAAACUGUCGGACUAGAGUGUCGGAGGGGUAAGUGGAAUUCCUAGUGUAGCGGUGAAAUGCGUAGAUAUUAGGAGGAACACCAGUGGCGAAGGCGGCUUACUGGACGAUAACUGACGCUGAGGCUCGAAAGCGUGGGGAGCAAACAGGAUUAGAUACCCUGGUAGUCCACGCCGUAAACGAUGAGUGCUAGGUGUCGGGGAGGAAUCCUCGGUGCCGCAGCUAACGCAAUAAGCACUCCACCUGGGGAGUACGACCGCAAGGUUGAAACUCAAAGGAAUUGACGGGGGCCCGCACAA